rnacentral:rRNA from 1 species
GGAGGAUCCAAGCGUUAUCCGGAAUCAUUGGGUUUAAAGGGUCCGUAGGCGGCUUAAUAAGUCAGCGGUGAAAGUUUUUGGCUUAACCAAAAAAUUGCCAUUGAUACUGUUAGGCUUGAAUUUUUGUGAAGUAACUAGAAUAUGUAGUGUAGCGGUGAAAUGCUUAGAUAUUACAUGGAAUACCAAUUGCGAAGGCAGGUUACUAACAAACGAUUGACGCUGAUGGACGAAAGCGUGGGUAGCGAACAGGAUUAGAUACCCUGGUAGUCCACGCCGUAAACGAUGGAUACUAGCUGUUCGGAAGUAAUUCUGAGUGGCUAAGCGAAAGUGAUAAGUAUCCCACCUGGGGAGUACGGGCGCAAGCCUG